rnacentral:rRNA from 1 species
AUGAUGAACGCUAGCUACAGGCUUAACACAUGCAAGUCGAGGGGCAGCAUGGUCUUAGCUUGCUAAGGCCGAUGGCGACCGGCGCACGGGUGAGUAACGCGUAUCCAACCUGCCUUACACUCUUGGACAGCCUUCUGAAAGGGAGAUUAAUACAAGAUGUUAUCAUGAGUAAGCAUUUUCGCAUGAUUAAAGGUUUACCGGUGUAAGAUGGGGAUGCGUUCCAUUAGAUAGUAGGCGGGGUAACGGCCCACCUAGUCUUCGAUGGAUAGGGGUUCUGAGAGGAAGGUCCCCCACAUUGGAACUGAGACACGGUCCAAACUCCUGCGGGAGGCAGCAGUGAGGAAUAUUGGUCAAUGGACGAGAGUCUGAACCAGCCAAGUAGCGUGAAGGAUGAAGGUUCUAUGGAUUGUAAACUUCUUUUAUACGGGAAUAAACGAAUCCACGCGUGGAUUUUUGCAUGUACCGUAUGAAUAAGGAUCGGCUAACUCCGUGCCAGCAGCCGCGGUAGUACGGAGGAUCCGAGCGUUAUCCGGAUUUAUUGGGUUUAAAGGGAGCGUAGAUGGGUUGUUAAGUCAGUUGUGAAAGUUUGCGGCUCAACCGUAAAAUUGCAAUUGAUACUGGCAGUCUUGAGUACAGUUGAGGUAGGCGGAAUUCGUGGUGUAGCGGUGAAAUGCUUAGAUAUCACGAAGAACUCCGAUUGCGAAGGCAGCUUACUAACCUGUAACUGACAUUGAUGCUCGAAAGUGUGGGUAUCAAACAGGAUUAGAUACCCUGGUAGUCCACACGGUAAACGAUGAAUACUCGCUGUAGGCGAUAUACAGUCUGCGGCCAAGCGAAAGCAUUAAGUAUUCCACCUGGGGAGUACGCCGGCAACGGUGAAACUCAAAGGAAUUGACGGGGGCCCGCACAAGCGGAGGAACAUGUGGUUUAAUUCGAUGAUACGCGAGGAACCUUACCCGGGCUUAAAUUGCAACCGAAUAUGGCGGAAACGCUAUAGCUAGCAAUAGCGGUUGUGAAGGUGCUGCAUGGUUGUCGUCAGCUCGUGCCGUGAGGUGUCGGCUUAAGUGCCAUAACGAGCGCAACCCUUGCCGAUAGUUACUAACAGGUUAUGCUGAGGACUCUGUCGGGACUGCCAUCGUAAGAUGUGAGGAAGGUGGGGAUGACGUCAAAUCAGCACGGCCCUUACGUCCGGGGCCACACACGUGUUACAAUGGGGGGUACAGAGGGCUGCUACCACGCAAGUGGAUGCCAAUCCCAAAAACCUCUCUCAGUUCGGAUUGAAGUCUGCAACCCGACUUCAUGAAGCUGGAUUCGCUAGUAAUCGCGCAUCAGCCACGGCGCGGUGAAUACGUUCCCGGGCCUUGUACACACCGCCCGUCAAGCCAUGGGAGCCGGGGGCACCUGAAGUGCGUAACCGCAAGGAGCGCCCUAGGGUAAAACUG